rnacentral:RNase_P_RNA from 1 species
AGCCGGCCGGUCUGUCGCUGGUACUUCGGUACAAGAGGAAAGUCCGGGCAACGCAGAGCAUCCUACUUCCUAACAGAAAGCUAUCCGUGAGGGUAGAUCCAUGCAGAAGAAAAGAACCGCCCUCCCCCCGGGAAGGGCAAGGGUGAGAAGGUAGGGUAAGAGCCUACCAGCCGUAUAGUGAUAUGCGGGCUGUGCAUCUUAGGAGUUGUAAGGUCAUGUAAACCGGCGCUAAAAGGGUUGCUCGCCCAAUGUCGGAGGGUGGACCGCUGGAUCCGGCCGGUGACGGCCGGGGUAGAUAAAUGACAGGCACCCGGCCCCUUGCGGGCAGGGAACAGAACCCGGCUUACAGGCCGACUGC